GACGAACGCUGGCGGCGUGCUUAACACAUGCGAGUCGAACGGAAAGGCCCUGCUUUUGUGGGGUGCUCGAGUGGCGAACGGGUGAGUAACACGUGAGUAACCUGCCCUUGACUUUGGGAUAACUUCAGGAAACUGGGGCUAAUACCGGAUAGGAGCUCCUGCUGCAUGGUGGGGGUUGGAAAGUUUCGGCGGUUGGGGAUGGACUCGCGGCUUAUCAGCUUGUUGGUGGGGUAGUGGCUUACCAAGGCUUUGACGGGUAGCCGGCCUGAGAGGGUGACCGGACACAUUGGGACUGAGAUACGGCCCAGACUCCUACGGGAGGCAGCAGUGGGGAAUAUUGCACAAUGGGCGGAAGCCUGAUGCAGCAACGCCGCGUGCGGGAUGACGGCCUUCGGGUUGUAAACCGCUUUCGCCUGUGACGAAGCGUGAGUGACGGUAAUGGGUAAAGAAGCACCGGCUAACUACGUG
rnacentral:rRNA from 1 species